GAUAAAACUUGAAACUUUUACUUUAUUUUUGCCUGAACUCAGUAUCAAUUCUGGAAAUUCUGACAUGAAGUGACAGUACUACAGGCUUGACGAUAAGACUAGCACUGCUGGAAGAAGCCUACAUAGUAACAAAGGAAAAAAAAACAAGCAAGAUUUAUGAUGGCUGUAGGUAUAAGCAUCUCAAGCAACAUCAACCAUAGAAAUAUGUAUUAAUGAAGGGUGAAUAAUUAAAAAGAAGGGAUGGAUUAUAAGGGACAAGACAAUGUCACAAGAGCAGAAAAUCAACAGAAAGGAGUUGAAGGAGAGAUCCUCUCCACUGUAUCUCAAAACUGCAGUAAUGUUUGCAGUGUAUUAUCUAUGAACUGCCACAGGCUUCUUCCUCCCCUGCCUCAUUUUGGAGAUUCAAAGCAUCUAGUUGGAUCUCAAGAUGUCAAAAGUUG
ensembl:lncRNA